AGAGUUUGAAUUAUGGCUCAGAUUGAACGCUGGCGGCAGGCCUAAACACAUGCAAGUCGAGCGGAUGACGGGAGCUUGCUCCUUGAUUCAGCGGCGGACGGGUGAGUAAUGCCUAGGAAUCUGCCUGGUAGUGGGGGACAACGUUUCGAAAGGAACGCUAAUACCGCAUACGUCUUACGGGAGAAAGCAGGGGACCUUCGGGCCUUGCGCUAUCAGAUGAGCAUAGGUCGGAUUAGCUAGUAGGUGAGGUAAUGGCUCACCUAGGCGACGAUCCGUAACUGGUCUGAGAGGAUGAUCAGUCACACUGGAACUGAGACACGGUCCAGACUCCUACGGGAGGCAGCAGUGGGGAAUAUUGGACAAUGGGCGAAAGCCUGAUCCAGCCAUGCCGCGUGUGUGAAGAAGGUCUUCGGAUUGUAAAGCACUUUAAGUUGGGAGGAAGGGCAGUAAACUAAUACCUUGCUGUUUUGACGUUACCGACAGAAUAAGCACCGGCUAACUCUGUGCCAGCAGCCGCGGUAAUACAGAGGGUGCAAGCGUUAAUCGGAAUUACUGGGCGUAAAGCGCGCGUAGGUGGUUCGUUAAGUUGGAUGUGAAAGCCCCGGGCUCAACCUGGGAACUGCAUCCAAAACUGGCGAGCUAGAGUAUGGUAGAGGGUGGUGGAAUUUCCUGUGUAGCGGUGAAAUGCGU
rnacentral:rRNA from 1 species